rnacentral:lncRNA from 1 species
CUGCAACCCAGAGAGGAGAAGUAACACACACAGAAUCAUUCCUCAGGAAAGCAAGGACAAGAACCCAGACCUGGACCCUUCUAGGCAGGUCACUCUGCAGGCUUUGCUAGAACAUCUGCAAGGGAGAUGUGCAGUGAACUUACAAAAAAGUCAAGGCCCAGGCACCACUGCAAAGCUUUUGGGGGAGUCGUUCGGUCAGACAAAUAACCAUCACAUGGAUGGAUGGAUUACAACUGACAUUCAGCCUCCACGUCUGGAGAAAAUAAAAGGGUGAGAGGGGAAUGGAC